CCUUUGUACACACCGCCCGUCGCUACUACCGAUUGAAUGGCUUAGUGAGAUCUCCGGAUUGCUGUGGAGGGAGCCGGCAACGGCACCUUCCUCGCGAGAAGUUGAUCAAACUUGGUCAUUUAGAGG
rnacentral:rRNA from 1 species